UACGUAGGGUGCAAGCGUUGUCCGGAAUUAUUGGGCGUAAAGAGCUCGUAGGCGGUUUGUCGCGUCUGCUGUGAAAACUCAGGGCUUAACCCUGAGCCUGCAGUGGGUACGGGCAGACUAGAGUGUGGUAGGGGAGAUCGGAAUUCCUGGUGUAGCGGUGGAAUGCGCAGAUAUCAGGAGGAACACCGGUGGCGAAGGCGGAUCUCUGGGCCAUAACUGACACUCAGGGACGAAAGCUAGGGGAGCGAAUGGG
rnacentral:rRNA from 1 species